rnacentral:rRNA from 14 species
AUAUGCUUGUCUCAAAGAUUAAGCCAUGCAUGUCUAAGUAUAAGCGAGUAUACUGUGAAACUGCGAAUGGCUCAUUAAAUCAGUUAUGGUUUAUUUGAUGGUACCUUACUACUUGGAUACCCGUAGUAAUUCUAGAGCUAAUACAUGCAGGAGUUCGUGCGCGGCUCGUCCGCGCGCGAUGUAUUUAUUAGAUAAGAGACCAACCCGCCUCGUGCGGUUGCGUGCCGAGUCAUAAUAACUGUUCGAAUCGCAUGGCUCUGACGCCGGCGAUGGUUCAUUCAAAUUUCUGCCCUAUCAGCUUUCGAUGGUAGGAUAGAGGCCUACCAUGGCGUUAACGGGUAACGGGGAAUUAGGGUUCGAUUCCGGAGAGGGAGCCUGAGAAAUGGCUACCACAUCCAAGGAAGGCAGCAGGCGCGUAAAUUGCCCGAAUCCUGACACAGGGAGGUAGUGACAAGAAAUAACAAUACAGGGCCAUCUUGGUCUUGUAAUUGGAAUGAGUACAAUUUACAUCUCUUCACGAGGAUCAAUUGGAGGGCAAGUCUGGUGCCAGCAGCCGCGGUAAUUC